rnacentral:rRNA from 1 species
CAAACACAUCGCCUCCUGCAACACAACCAAGUAUAGGAGGUCCAGCCUGCCCAGUGACUACAAGUUCAACGGCCGCGGUAUUUUGACCGUGCAAAGGUAGCGCAAUCACUUGUCUCUUAAAUGGAGACCUGUAUGAAUGGCUAAACGAGGGCUUAACUGUCUCCCCCCUCCAGUCAGUGAAAUUGAUCUAUCCGUGCAGAAGCGGGUAUAAUAAUACAAGACGAGAAGACCCUUUGGAGCUUAAGGUACAAGAAUCAGCCACGUCAAGCAACUUAAUAAAGAGCAAAAACUUUGUGGACAAUGAUUUUUUACCUUCGGUUGGGGCGACCACGGAGGAAAAAAGAGCCUCCAGGUGGACUGGGAAAACAUCCUAAAGCUAAGAGAGACAUCUCUAGGCCGCAGAACAUCUGACCAAUCAUGAUCCGGCUGACAAAGCCGAUCAACGAACCAAGUUACCCUAGGGAUAACAGCGCAAUCCUCUCCCAGAGUCCAUAUCGACGAGGGGGUUUACGACCUCGAU